AAGAACCGUAUGAGGUGAAAAUCUCAUGUACGGUUCGGUAGCUCUAUUCUAUGCUACACUUGGUAUAUCUUUAGCAUUUACAU
rnacentral:ncRNA from 1 species